rnacentral:tRNA from 1 species
GGGCGGAUAGCUCAGUUGGGAGAGCGUUGCCCUUACAAGGCAGAGGUCGCAGGUUCGAUCCCUGUUCCGCCUACCA